GUCGCCCUUCUCUCUCUCUUUCUCCCUUCUUUUCCCAAAUUCAAUUUCAAACCCUAACUUCCUCCUUCCACCUCGGUGAAUCCACGGAGCCGCUGCUCUCGUCGCGUCUCCCGGAGGCGUCCGCCGUCGCCGACGUCGCCUCCUUCCUAACCCUUCGGAUUUUCUACUUCUCUUGUCCCCUUCUCGACUAAACCAUAUGGACCUCAAAUCUGGAAACCCUAGGUAGGUGAGGGACUUGUCGCCGUCUAAUCGGCACCGCACGGCUGCGGCUUCGGAGUCUUCCCGAUGCGGUGAAGUAGCCGCCUUGCUGGCUAUCCGGUUGGGCACUGCGGUUUGCUACCGCUGCCUCUGGCCCGUCGUGUCAGAUCUGUCUAGCGGCGGCGCUGCUCCAGGGUCUCGCCGCUUCGGCUUGUAUAGCCCAGAUCGCGUCUAGGAGCUAACUUUUCUCGUUCCCUUUUCACUACAUAAAGUAUUCGUAUGGUAUUUGGACAAUGACUAUGUUAAGUUAUAGUCUGAGGCGGAAAGAAUUGUUGGACUUGCGAAUACUGCUUGUGAUUCUAGUAUUUGGAAACUCCCUAAGAUGAGUUAUCAAUUGAGUUCCCCUCGGUUUAGCAAAGUCGCAUUUUUGAAAUCGAUGCUUACUUCAAUAUCUGCUAUUGUCAAGGCUAUGAAACGAUGGUAUCUUAGCAUGCUUGGGUUCAUACAUGAAGUUAAGAGCUAUAUGAACUAGAACUUAAGUCGUUGGAGGGGUUACCUGCUGUGAUUUGCUCUGGUUUUCCGUCUCUAAACUCAACCCCUUCUCCCUCUCUUUAGCUUGCUGCCUUACUAUUGAUUUGUGAUGAUGAGGGAGGAUGAGGCCGAGGGGUUACUUAUACUUGUAUUGCCUAACAGAAAGCCUGCAAAGGCUGGUAUUUUUGGGCAGGAAAGAGUCCUUGAUGGACGGUUCUUUGGCUGUUUCCUCUGCAGCAACUUACAGGGAAGUACUCGUGCAUUAAUUGGCACUUAUAACCUCUUUUGUUAUCAUUUGGCAGGGUAUCUCAGCCCUCCUUCUCGGCUGCACACCUACUGAAUUUCCUAUGACUUUUACAGGUGCAAUAGGAAAUGGAGACCGUUGCAUCUAAGGGGAUAAGCUUCUACAGCUGUUGGGGUGGAGAGGCCGGUUGUACGUGCCUCGAAGCAGCCUUCGGUACCAGCUGAGAGGCCAGGUAUCUGCAGGCUGUUGUAGGUCCUUGCUGCACUCAUUUUAGUAGGGUUUCGGUCCCCUCUAAGGAAUGUGCUGGAUACUCAUGGUUGUCACACUGAUGUUCCCAGCCUAUCGGGCCGUUGGAUGUUGGCCGAAAUCAGUGCUAAAGGAGGCCCGAAACUAGUUUUCUUUCCUCUAUAAUGUAAUAGAGUAGUUCUAUUGUAAUUCCAUUUUCUUCGUUUUCAUCAUCAAGCGAUUGUAAUUUAAGACUUAACUUGAGACUUGUAUAUUGUAUUCCAUUUACUUAAGAAAUAAACGUUAUACUUUCGCUUCA